UGGGGAAUAUUGCGCAAUGGGGGAAACCCUGACGCAGCGACGCCGCGUGAGCGAAGAAGGCCUUAGGGUUGUAAAGCUCUGUUUUAAGGGACGAAUGUCGUGGGGAGUAAUAUGCUCUGCGAAUGACGGUACCCUAAGAGGAAGCCCCGGCUAACUACGUGCCAGCAGCCGCGGUAAGACGUGGGGGGCGAGCGUUGUCCGGAAUUACUGGGCGUAAAGAGCACGUAGGCGGGAACUUAAGUCAGGUGUGAAGGACCGGGGCUCAACUCCGGGGUUGCACUUGAAACUGGGUUUCUUGAGGGCAGGAGAGGAAAGCAGAAUUCCUGGUGUAGCGGUGAAAUGCGUAGAAAUCAGGAGGAAUACCAGUGGCGAAGGCGGCUUUCUGGACUGACCCUGACGCUGAGGUGCGAAAGCGUGGGUAGCAAACAG
rnacentral:rRNA from 1 species